rnacentral:rRNA from 1 species
AUUGAACGCUGGCGGCAGGCCUAACACAUGCAAGUCGAGCGAGCGGCGGACGGGUGAGUAAUGUAUGGGGACUGCCCGAUAGAGGGGGAUAACUACUGGAAACGGUGGCUAAUACCGCAUACCAUCCGAUAACCCAUAUGGGAUUAGCUUGUUGGUGGGGUAAAGGCUCACCUAGGCGACGAUCCCUAGCUGGGCUGAGAGGAUGAAGAGCCAAAACGGGAACGAGGAACGGGCCAGAGUUCUACGGAGGCAGCAGUGGGGAAUAUUGCACAAUGGGCGCAAGCCUGAUGCAGCCAUGCCGCGUGUAUGAAGAAGGCCUUAGGGUUGUAAAGUACUUUCAGCGGGGAGGCGUUACCCGCAGAAGAAGCACCGGCUAACUCCGUGCCAGCAGCCGCGGUAAUUC